UCACAGUGAUGAAUGUUUUAUCCAGCAUUCGCAGUUUCCUCCAGAAAGGGCUUUCCCCCUAAUGUUGGUCAAUCCUUCCUUGGAUGUCUGAGUGA